rnacentral:rRNA from 1 species
GGUUUAAUUCGAAGCAACGCGAAGAACCUUACCUAAGCUUGACAUCCCAAUGACAUCUCCUUAAUCGGAGAGUUCCCUUCGGGGACAUUGGUGACAGGUGGUGCAUGGUUGUCGUCAGCUCGUGUCGUGAGAUGUUGGGUUAAGUCCCGCAACGAGCGCAACCCUUGUCUUUAGUUGCCAUCAUUAAGUUGGGCACUCUAGAGAGACUGCCAGGGAUAACCUGGAGGAAGGUGGGGAUGACGUCAAAUCAUCAUGCCCCUUAUGCUUAGGGCUACACACGUGCUACAAUGGGUAGUACAGAGGGUUGCCAAGCCGUAAGG